rnacentral:tRNA from 1 species
GCAGUGGUCGUUCAGCGGUAGAAUUCUCACCUUCCACGUGGGAGACCUAGGUUUGGUUCCCGGCCAGUGUA